rfam:Myotis lucifugus cont2.38773, whole genome shotgun sequence.
GGCAGUUUUCAGGUGACACACCCUGGAAUUGGGCUCCCUCCUCUCUGGUUCUAGGUGCAACACUCGAGAACAGCA